AUUGAACGCUGGCGGCAUGCUUUACACAUGCAAGUCGAACGGUAACAGGUCUUCGGAUGCUGACGAGUGGCGAACGGGUGAGUAAUGUAUCGGAACGUGCCCAGUAGUGGGGGAUAACUACUCGAAAGAGUGGCUAAUACCGCAUGAGAACUGAGGUUGAAAGCGGGGGACCUUCGGGCCUCGCGCUACUGGAGCGGCCGAUAUCAGAUUAGGUAGUUGGUGGGGUAAUGGCCCACCAAGGCGACGAUCCUUAGCUGGUCUGAGAGGAUGAUCAGCCACACUGGGACUGAGACACGGCCCAGACUCCUACGGGAGGCAGCAGUGGGGAAUAUUGGACAAUGGGCGAAAGCCUGAUCCAGCAAUGCCGCGUGAGUGAUGAAGGCCUUAGGGUUGUAAAGCUCUUUUACCCGGGAUGAUAAUGACAGUACCGGGAGAAUAAGCUCCGGCUAACUCCGUGCCAGCAGCCGCGGUAAUGUAGUCGUG
rnacentral:rRNA from 1 species